AUACGUAGGGGGCGAGCGUUGUCCGGAAUGACUGGGCGUAAAGGGCGUGUAGGCGGUUGAAUAAGUCUGGAGUGAAAGUCCCGGGUUCCAGUUGGGAACUGCUUUGGAUACUGUUCAACUUGAGUGCGGAAGAGGGAAGUGGAAUUCCCAGUGUAGCGGUGAAAUGCGUAGAGAUUGGGAGGAACACCAGUGGCGAAGGCGACUUACUGGGCCGUAACUGACGCUGAGGCGCGAAAGCGUGGGGAGCGAACAGGAUUAGAUACCCUGGUAGUCCACGCGGUAAACGAUGAAUGCUAGGUGUUGCGGGUAUCGACCCCUGCAGUGCCGGAGUAAACACAAUAAGCAUUCCGCCUGGGGAGUACGGCCGCAAGGUUGAAACUCAAAUGAAUUGACGGGG
rnacentral:rRNA from 1 species